rnacentral:rRNA from 1 species
CACCUCUAGCAUUUCCAGUAUUAGAGGCACUGCCUGCCCAGUGACAUCUGUUUAAACGGCCGCGGUAUCCUAACCAUGCAAAGGUAGCAUAAUCACUUGUUCCCUAAAUAGGGACUUGUAUGAAUGGCCACACGAGGGUUUUACUGUCUCUUACUUCCAAUCAGUGAAAUUGACCUUCCCGUGAAGAGGCCGGAAUGACUAAAUAAGACGAGAAGACCCUAUGGAGCUUUAAUUAACUGAUUCACAAAAAACAACACACAAACCUAACCUUCAGGGACAACAAAACUUUUGAUUGAAUCGGCAAUUUCGGUUGGGGUGACCUCGGAGAACAAAACAACCUCCGAGUGAUUUAAAUCCAGACUAACCAGUCAAAAUAUAUAAUCACUUAUUGAUCCAAACCAUUGAUCAACGGAACAAGUUACCCUAGGGAUAACAGCGCAAUCCUAUUCCAGAGUCCAUAUCGACAAUUAGGGUUUACGACCUCGAUGUUGGAUCAAGACAUCCUAAUGGUGCAACCGCUAUUAAGGGUUCGUUUGUUCAACGAUUAAAGUCUU